AGGAUGAACGCUGGCGGCGUGCCUAAUACAUGCAAGUCGAGCGCCCUGCACAGUGCCCAUUAGCGAGAGUUAGUGAGUAGUGUGUAGGGAGCGGCGGACGGCUGAGUAACACGUAGGAACGUACCCCAAACUGAGGGAUAAGCACCAGAAAUGGUGUCUAAUACCGCAUGUGAUCUUCGGAUGAAAGCUUCGGCGGUUUGGGAACGGCCUGCGCAUGAUUAGCUAGUUGGUGAGGUAAUGGCUCACCAAGGCAAUGAUCAUUAGCUGGUCUGAGAGGAUGACCAGCCAGACUGGGACUGAGAACGGCCCAGACUCCUACGGGAGGCAGCAGUAGGGAAUCUUCCACAAUGGGCGAAAGCCUGAUGGAGCAACGCCGCGUGCAGGAUGAAGGUCUUCGGAUUGUAAACUGCUUUUAUCUGUGACGAUUAUGACGGUAGCAGAUGAAUAAGGAUCGGCUAACUCCGU
rnacentral:rRNA from 1 species